CCCUUAGAUGUCCUGGGCCGCACGCGCGCUACACUGAUGCAUGCAACGAGUUUAUAACCUUGGCCUGAAAGGUCUGGGUAAUCUUUUGAACGUGCAUCGUGAUAGGGAUAGAUUAUUGCAAUUGUUAAUCUUGAACGAGGAAUUCCUAGUAAACGCGAGUCAUCAGCUCGCAUUGAUUACGUCCCUGCCCUUUGUACACACCGCCCGUCGCACCUACCGAUUGAAUGGUUCGGUGAAGAUCUCGGAUUUCGAUAUUUAUUCUUUAUUGAGUUUAUAUUGUGGGAAGUUAUCUAAACCUCACCAUUUAGAGGAAGGUGAAGUCGUAACA
rnacentral:rRNA from 1 species